GGAAUAUUGGUAAUGUGCGAAAGCGCGAACCAGCAACGCCGCGUGCACGAUGAAGGCCUUCGGGUCGUAAAGUGCUUUUAGAGAGGAUGAGGAAGGACAGUACUUUCUGAAUAAGCCUCGGCUAACUACGUGCCAGCAGCCGCGGUAAAACGUAGGAGGCUAGCGUUAUCCGGAUUUACUGGGCGUAAAGCGCAUGCAGGUGGUUUUGUAAGUUGGAUGUGAAAGCUCCUGGCUUAACUGGGAGAGGUAGUUCAAAACUACAAGACUUGAGAUUGGUAGAGGAAAAUGGAAUUCCGAGUGUAGUGCUGAAAUGCGUAGAUAUCU
rnacentral:rRNA from 1 species